rnacentral:rRNA from 1 species
GAUGAACGCUAGCGGCAGGCUUAAUACAUGCAAGUCAAGGGGGUAGCAAUACAACCGGCGCACGGGUGAGUAACGCGUACACAACAUACCAUAUACUGGGGUAUAGCUUUGGGAAACUGAAGGUAAUCCCCCAUAACAUUGCGAGAGGGCAUCUGAUUGCAAUUAAAGUUUCGGCGGUAUAUGAUUGGUGUGCGUUUGAUUAGCUAGUUGGUAGGGUAACGGCCUACCAAGGCGACGAUCAAUAGCUGGCGUGAGAGCGCGACCAGCCACACUGGAACUGAGACACGGUCCAGACUCCUACGGGAGGCAGCAGUAGGGAAUAUUGGACAAUGGAGGAAACUCUGAUCCAGCCAUGCCGCGUGAUAGAUGAAGGCCCUCGUGGGUUGUAAAUAUCUUUUAUCUGGGAAGAAAC